GCCUUUGUAGCGCAAUGGAUAGCCCGUUGUAAUCCUCAUGCAAAGGGAGUGGGUUCGAAUCCUACCUGGGAUG